CAGAGCUAGCUCACACAAUCCCACUCACCAUGUAAGUUUUACAGUUUUGAUAUACCGUGGAAGCCACAUGUAUUUUUCAAGUUUUAAGGCAACAAAAUAUGGAUUCAGUGGUAAGAUGAGAAGUAUAUUAAUCAAAGGCGACUGAACAGAUGGCAAACCAAAUGAGUCAAGGAAUUUGGAGAAAAAAAUUCAACUUAAUAGAUAUGCAGGAAAAUACUUUCUCAGGUCAGGAGGAAAAAAGCCCAAACAUUUCGCCUUAGCCUCACUGACAUUUGCUGUCCUCAAGUCUAAACUUGUUCUCUGUCUGGCUUCCCCAAAAUAUGUAAUAUUGCAAGGUGAGACCUACCACAGGCCACGCUCACUGUGUUUACUCAUUAAAACAAGCGUCUGCAUGUCCCUGCA